CUCCGGGGGCGGAGCGGACAGUCUCCCCAGGCCCCGGCCGCGCCCCCGCCCGCCUCCGCCUCCCUCUCCCUUCGCCCAACCCCCCCCCACCCCGCCCCUGCGCCGUCGGUGCUGGGCUGCGGCCCCAAAUUCAGGCCAAAUUGAGCUUCUACGGACACGGCAGCCUCGCCCGAGCUCUGCAGCAUCUGCUGGCCGGGGUACCCCGUUACGCGUCCCCCGGAGAAAGGGCCGCCUUCUAGGGCGACCAGAAUGCGCGGCCCGCGGGGGUGAGAACAAGCAUCUGAGGGCCGGGUGCGCCCCCUGCCCGGCUCCCGCUUAGGAAGCCGCGGCGGAAGAAUGAGAAGUCCUACAAGCAAAUCAUGGAAACGUGUCCCGACCUCGCCAGGCCGGGGCGGGAGCUACGGGAAGGAAGGACGCAGCUUUUCAUCAGAAUGCCAGCCUGUCCUGGCCAAGCCCCGCGCCCGCGGCGCCCCCUGCUCCUACCCCGCGUCCAGGCGGCCCCGGCCCCUGCUGACCUUGCCCAGGGGGCACGUGUUCAGAAGCCCUUCUCAGAAAAGACCACCUCCCCGCCUCAAAAUGAAAACUUUCAACAGGAGGGCUGGGCCGAGGUCUCUGGAAAGGCGGCUCCAGCAAGCGUCUUGAGAGACCACCAAUGCACACUGAAAUGUUACCGUCGCCCGGUUUCCCGGUCUCGAUCUCCACCACCCUAACCUAGCUCCCAGUAAAGAGUCAGCGCGCGGCGGCCUGUGUGCGCUCACCUUCCCGCUCUGGCUUCAGGGGAGGGGGCUCUGGAAGGAAGGGUGUACACGUGUGGGGGGGACGGGGGGAGGUGUGGACAGAGGAGGUUCUGGGGGGAUGGGAGGUUCCAACGUUGGAGGGAGUAGGGGCAGCAGAAAUGCAAGGCCAGUGAAGACCCAGAGUGGCCGCUGUGGCAGAAACAGCAGGUGUCAACAAUUUUGAUGAGGUCCUGAACACAGCCGCCAAGCUUUAAUGCACAGCAGUGUCAGGUUCGCAAGAAUAAUUUUCAGAAAGACUGAAAUGCAUACCUUUAAUACCUUGUCUUCUUGCUAUAACACUUUUAAAAUCUGUUAGUGUGUUAACAAUUCUUGAUUAAACACGUUGGAGAAAAUAA